UUGACCUCGCUCAGAAGCAAUUAAAAACCG
rnacentral:rRNA from 1 species